rnacentral:rRNA from 1 species
GAUGAACGCUGGCGGCGUGCCUAAUACAUGCAAGUCGAGCGAACUGACGAGAAGCUUGCUUUUCUGAUGUUAGCGGCGGACGGGUGAGUAACACGUGGAUAACCUACCUAUAAGACUGGGAUAACUUCGGGAAACCGGAGCUAAUACCGGAUAAUAUUUUGAACCGCAUGGUUCAAAAGUGAAAGACGGUCUUGCUGUCACUUAUAGAUGGAUCCGCGCUGCAUUAGCUAGUUGGUAAGGUAACGGCUUACCAAGGCAACGAUGCAUAGCCGACCUGAGAGGGUGAUCGGCCACACUGGAACUGAGACACGGUCCAGACUCCUACGGGAGGCAGCAGUAGGGAAUCUUCCGCAAUGGGCGAAAGCCUGACGGAGCAACGCCGCGUGAGUGAUGAAGGUCUUCGGAUCGUAAAACUCUGUUAUUAGGGAAGAACAUAUGUGUAAGUAACUGUGCACAUCUUGACGGUACCUAAUCAGAAGGCCACGGCUAACUACGUG